GAUGAACGCUGGCGGCGUGCCUAAUACAUGCAAGUCGAGCGAACGGACGAGAAGCUUGCUUCUCUGAUGUUAGCGGCGGACGGGUGAGUAACACGUGGAUAACCUACCUAUAAGACUGGGAUAACUUCGGGAAACCGGAGCUAAUACCGGAUAAUAUUUUGAACCGCAUGGUUCAAAAGUGAAAGACGGUCUUGCUGUCACUUAUAGAUGGAUCCGCGCUGCAUUAGCUAGUUGGUAAGGUAACGGCUUACCAAGGCAACGAUGCAUAGCCGACCUGAGAGGGGGAACCGCCACAAUUGAACUGGGAAAACGUCCCAACCUCCUACGGAAGGAGGCAGAGGGGAACCUUCGGAAUGGGGCGAAGGCUUACGGAGGCACGGCGGCUGGGGUAAGAAGGGCCUCGGAUUCGAAAACCCCGUUUAUAGGGAAGAACCAAUGGUGAAGGUACUGGGCCCAACCUGAAGGUACCCAAACAAGAAGGCACGGCUAACUACGUG
rnacentral:rRNA from 1 species